rnacentral:rRNA from 1 species
GAUGAACGCUGGCGGCGUGCCUAAUACAUGCAAGUCGAGCGAACGGACGAGAAGCUUGCUUCUCUGAUGUUAGCGGCGGACGGGUGAGUAACACGUGGAUAACCUACCUAUAAGACUGGGAUAACUUCGGGAAACCGGAGCUAAUACCGGAUAAUAUUUUGAACCGCAUGGUUCAAAAGUGAAAGACGGUCUUGCUGUCACUUAUAGAUGGAUCCGCGCUGCAUUAGCUAGUUGGUAAGGUAACGGCUUACCAAGGCAACGAUGCAUAGCCGACCCGAGAGGGUGAUCGGCCACACGGGAACGGAGACACGGUCCAGACUCCUACGGGAGGCAGCAGUAGGGAAUCUUCCGCAAUGGGCGAAAGCCUGACGGAGCAACGCCGCGUGAGUGAUGAAGGUCUUCGGAUCGUAAAACUCUGUUAUUAGGGAAGAACAUAUGUGUAAGAAACUGUGCACAUCUUGACGGUACCUAAUCAGAAAGCCACGGCUAACUAC